UGCCCGCAAGGAAAUGUAGUGAGAGGUGCUGCAUGGCUGUCGUCAGCUCGUGUUGUGAAAUGUUGGGUUAAGUCUCGCAACGAGCGCAACCCCUAUCGUCUGUUGCCAGCAUUAAGUUGGGCACUCUGACGAGACUGCCUGGGUUAACCAGGAGGAAGGUGGGGAUGACGUCAAGUCCUCAUGGCCCUUAUGUCUAGGGCUACACACGUAAUACAAUGGCGCGUACAAAGGGAAGCGAACUCGCAAGGGGGAGCAAAUCUCAAAAAGCGCGUCUCAGUUCGGAUUGGAGUCUGCAACUCGACUCCAUGAAGUUGGAAUCGCUAGUAAUCGGAGAUCAGCACGCUCC
rnacentral:rRNA from 1 species